rnacentral:lncRNA from 1 species
UUCUCUUGCCUGAUAUGAGUUCGAAGAGCAUCAUGCCAUAGCUAAAGACAUCUGCCUUUGCUGUUAUUGCCACACCACUGAUCCAUUCAGGUGCAAGGUAGCCCCUUGUUCCUCUCAUUGUUGUCAAUACACGGCUGAACUCUCUGCCCAAGAGCUUCGCUAGACCAAAAUCAGCCACUUUAGGCACAAAGGACUCAUCCAAGAGUAUGUUUUCUGGCUUGACAUCACAGUGUAUAAUGCAAUCCCUACAUUUUUCAUGCAGGUAAUUUAAGCCCCUUGCUGUUCCAAGUGCUAUUUGGUACCUGGUAGCCCAGCUCAGUGUUGUUGUCUCACCAGAGAAUAGCUGCAGGUCCAGGGAGCCCUUUGGCAUGAACUCAUA